AAGAUAUCAAGCUGUGCCAUUCUUUGGAAACACAGGCGAACCUGCAAAGAAACUUCUCAGGGAGUCUGGAUAACACGUCAACUAAUAAGUUGGUUGGUAGUUCAUUCAAACUCAUAUUUUUCUUCUCUACAAAUUGUUCUUCCAUCAAAAGACGGAGGAAGAUAUUUGCUUUGUGUGAGCUAAAUUUUGGUUUUGGGAGAGAAU
rnacentral:lncRNA from 1 species